rnacentral:rRNA from 1 species
GACGAACGCUGGCGGCGUGCUUAACACAUGCAAGUCGAACGGAAAGGCCCUGCUUUUGUGGGGUGCCCGAGUGGCGAACGGGUGAGUAACACGUGAGUAACCUGCCCUUGACUUUGGGAUAACUUCAGGAAACUGGGGCUACUACCGGCUAGGAGCUCCUGCUGCAUGGUGGGGGUUGGAAAGUUUCGGCGGUUGGGGAUGGACUCGCGGCUUACCAGCUGGUUGGUGGGGUAGUGGCUUACCAAGGCUUAGACGGGUAGCCGGCCUGAGAGGGUGACCGGCCACAAUGGGACUGAGAUACGGCGCAGACUCCUACGGGAGGCAGCAGUGGGGAAUAUUGCACAGUGGGCGGAAGCCUGAUGCAGCGACGCCGCGUGCGGGAUGACGGCCUUCGUGUUGGAAACCGCUUUCGCCUGUGACGAAGCGUGAGUGACGGUAAUGAGUAAAGAAGCACCGGCUAACUACGUG